UUGCAGAUUGAGGGUGGAGUCCUGUGAUUUUCAGGCUCUUCAAGUUAACAAUACUUGCAAAGAUGAAGAUGGAAUUCUCUGUCAUCCAUGAAGCACAGUUUUUAAAGUAUCUAGUGUAUAUAAGGACAAGCCAUUCUCAGUCAAGCAUGAAACUGAAUCUGAGCAGGAAAAGAAGAAAGCUGAAAACACACUGAGGAUUAUGGGAGAGGGGCAAGUGCAUGAAGCUUCUCAAUGACAUACAGACACUCUAAAAGCUCAAGAGAUCAAUUAUUCAACUUCAAGAACUGAAAUUUGAACACAGAUUUUGAGCUUCCAAAUCAGGAGAAAAAGAAGUGUUCUAUAAGAAGUUUGGACAAGACUCUGCAAGAAGUUAAGAGGUCCUUAAAGGCAACUGUGAAUUAACGGAGACUAGUUUUGAGAAAAUCAGUCCUGAUUUGUUUCUCCUGGAGUUUUCUUCUUUAUGUGAUCCUUCAUAAAAGCUGCUAAUAUGGGAAAGAUUGAAAUCAGCAAGUUUCUGGCUGUAAGCUAAAAGAGGCUCUUGAAUCAUAUUUCCGCCUGCUUAGCAAAUUUCUCUUGCGACAAUUGGAUGUUAUUUGGGGUUCCAUACUAGCAGGAAGAAGUACAAGCAAAGCUAAGUCAUUUUGAGAAUAAAUAUUAUCUCUCUAUAUAUUUGUAAAUGUUAUUUUCUUUUUUUUUGAGGUUUAUGAUUGAUCCUUGGCAUGUGUCCCCUUGUGUAUUGCUCUACUAAAAAUAGCCUAAAAAAGAAUUUUCCCCUCGAUGUGGAGCUUCUCUUUAGUUACAAUUCUACUUUCUCCUUCACUUGAGUAUCAGUCUUCAGAGAACUACCAUAACAAAGGAGUGGAUACAGAUAUACGCAAAAAAGUCUAUGAGAAAAUUAGUACAUUAAAUUUGUGAAAGCUCAUUUAAAGUAAUUUUCUACUAACAAUUUUAAUCAAAUGUAUUAAUCAUAUUUCUAUGCUUAGUGAUGUUAAAUAAAAAUUUAAAAGGUGGCAAUCAAUAAACAGAGAUAAAAGCUUCUCAAGAAUAAAUGAAAGGAAGUAAUAAAAAGACUCACUAAGCUGAAUUGCCUCCUAUCAACAGCAGCUGAUAAAAUAUUAAAAGAUUUGCCUUGUGUAAUGUCUCUGGAGAGCUGUCUUACUGAUGUACGAGGCCAUGAUUGACAACUUUGAGACUUUGCUGGAAGCGACAAAAGUAUAUCUAUAAUAUUAUGCUGAAUUGCAUAGGUCUUUCUUCUUAAAUGAGGCUAGAAAUAACAUACCACCAAGUGUUUGGCUUUUAGGAAAUUGAGCAUUUUCUUUAGUUCUAGCUGCAGUUUAAUUUCCUCAGAAUUAGACAUUAUGCGGUAUCUGGAACGUUAAAAAAAAAAAAAAGCAAAAACAGAGUAUUGUACCUAAUGAUAUGUCAAAUAAUUUUGGAGGAAUUAAGAAAUCACUGGAAGAAAUUACAUGGGUGGGUAAUGGUUUUUAUGUCACAAUAAAUAAUUAGUAAUAUUUACUGACACAUUUCAUGUGCCUGGUACUGAGCUAAAUGAUUUAUGUGCAUUGUUUGUAUUAAGCCCCCAAAAUUCUGUGGUAUAUGUAAUGAUAUUUCCAUUUUUCUUGAGAUAAGGAACUGAAACUCAGAAAAGUUAAGGAACUUGUCCAAGAUUAUAGUAAGUGGCUUAGUUCAAUUUUGAAUCUAGAUCAAUCUGACUCCAACCAGCAUGAUGAACUGAAACUGACUAUGAGGCUGGUGACACUCUAGGCAUUUAUUCACAAGAGGUAUUGUGAUGACAUGUGAGAGAAUGUUGGAUGAAGGAAGCACAUACUAGAAAGAUAGGAAAGACCAGAAAACACAGGGAAGUGCUAUUUAUUUGCUUUCCUAGUUCCAGUAACUUGGUCUAAUGGGGAGGAUGAAAGUAGACAGAUACCUGAAAACACUUUGAGAUUUAUGUAUAAGCAGCAUGACUUCAGUGACCAAGCCACACAGAAUCUGGGAGUGGAACAUUUUCUUUGGUCAUUAUGCCACUGCGGCAUGGUUUGUUAGUGCAGUGAGAACUAAAGUAUAGUGUGGUAACCUGAAACUGUUAUGGUUAUGGGUACACCUGGGUGGGUAGCUGUUCACCCCUUCACAGAGGGUAGGAGUGGUGAUAGCAAAGUAGCUCUUCGCAGUAACUUUCAGAACAUAGACAUUAUGUAAGAUCUGAAGUUUGAAAACCUGAAACAAAAGCAGAGCAUUAUAUCCAAGCACAUUGGAGACAACUGUGGAGGAAUCAAGGAACAUCUAGCAGAGAUUUAAUGUUUUAGGGACUGUUUUUUAUUUCAGAAGGUAAUAAGUGUAAAACAGUCAAACUCUAGGCAUAGGGAUGAACAUUAUUUUGUGUCAUAAAUUUGUCUAAUAUAGUUGCUGCUUCAGCAUCCAGUUUUGGCUUGUCAUGGUCAAGGUGACCAGUCAUGCCCUGUCACCUUUGGUUUUAUUAAAAUUUUCCCUCCUUUAGUGGUUAUUUGUGAUAUAGCCCUGUUGUUCCCCAUCUCACUGACCCCAAAUUCAACACAUGCCACAGCUGCUGGCCACAGUGAAAACUAAUGAUCAACACCAGUCAUGUGAAUAAGACGUCCCUUCAUGUGUUUUCUUUAAGCUAGCCUAUCCACAGCCCCAUGGGAAAGCCUAAAGAAUAGUACCUGUGGAUUAUAAUAAAGACGUCUUACUGGUUCUUGCUCUCUAUCCCUCUCUCUACACACUGGUCAAGUACACUCUUGUCUCCAGACUUCCCAUUGGCCUCCUGUCAACACCUGUACCCACUCUGGACCUGGGAAUAAUAAACUUCUUUUUUUUUUUAAUGUAUUUUGGUUUCACUUCCUCAUUGUAUCUCACCUGACACACACAUACUAUAGUGUUCUCAAUAUUAUUUAAUGUGUUUAACAAAUCAUAACAGAUAAUAUAUGAUUGACACUGUGCCUCCUGAUUUGAUGCAAUAUGGACUAUUCCACAUCACUGAUGAAGUAGUCAUACAAAAAAUAUUUAUCUUGAAUCAAAGCAAGAUUUUAUACCAAAAUUCUAGUUCAAGUUACCUGAUAGAGGAACAUAUUAAACAAUACUAUGUGUAAACAAUACUAUGUGUAAACAAUCAGAAAAAUAAUAGAUUGUAGCCUUCAAAAAACGAUGGCCUUACAAAACAAAUAAACAAAAAGUUUGUGUGGGUGUGUACAUGCAAGGGCUAAUCUCAAAUGCAGAAAGACCAGAAUACAAUAACAAAUAUAAUUCUUGAAAGUGGAUUUCAUCUUGGUUUACCAAAAAUAGCUAUGAGGGAAAUUUGGGUAAGAAUUAGAGAAUUCUGAAUAUAGAAUGAAUUAAAACAUAUUAUGAAUUAAGUUAAUAUUUUUGAUGUUUUCUUUUGAUAUGUUCUUUUAGAAUAUGUAAUAUCCCUAUUUAUUGGAGAUGUGUGCUAAAUUAUUUACAAAUAUUUGGGUAUCUGAAAUUUACUUUCAAAUGCACCAAAAAUAAUAGCUAUACAAAAAGAAAUACAUUAAAUUUACUCUAUAGUAGUAGUUAUUCUUUCUGAGAGGUUUACACAGUAUUUUCCUGUUCUUUUGUAUGUAUGUAUUUUUAAAAGAACGUAGGCCUGGCGCAGUGGCUCACGCCUAUAAUCCCAGCACUUUGGGAGGCCGAGGUGGGCGGAUCACGUGGUCAGGAGAUCGAGACCAUCCUGGCUAACACGGUAAAACCCCGUCUCUACUAAAAACACAAAAACAAAAUUAGCCAGGCGUGGUGGCGGGCGCCUGUAGUCCCAGCUAAUCAGGAGGCUGAGGCAGGAGAAUGGCGUGAACCCGGGAGGCGAAGCUUGCAGUGAGCCGAGAUCAUGCCACUGCACUCCAGCCUGGGCGACAGAGCGAGACUCCGUCUCAAAAAAAACAAAAACGAAAACAAAAACAACAUAAAUAAAUUGAUAAUAUAUCUAUUUUGAUACAGUCAUGGUUAACAUAAAUAAUCCUGGUUAUAUCCAUAUAAAACCAUGAAUAUACAGUAAUAAAUAUUAUAAUUACAAGUAAAUCACCAUAAAUAAAUUCUGUUUUCAAUGUUUCUACU
rnacentral:lncRNA from 10 species